CCCUUAGAUGUUCUGGGCCGCACGCGUGCUACACUGAGUGGAUCAGCGGGUCAGGUUGCGCGAAAGCGUUUCCUAAUCUUUAAAUCCGCUCGUGAUGGGGAUUGACGGUUGCAAUUUUCUGUCAUGAACGAGGAAUACCUAGUAAGUGCGAGUCAUCAGCUUGCGCUGACUACGUCCCUGCCCCUUGUACACACCGCCCGUCGCUGCCCGGAACUGAGCCGUUUCGAGAAAGCCGGGGACUGACGGCUUGUGGGUGCGCAAGCACUUCUUGCCGAUGGAAACCAGUUUAAUCGGUAUGGCUUGAACCGGGCAAAAGUCGUAACA
rnacentral:rRNA from 1 species